UACGUAGGGGGCUAGCGUUGUCCGGAAUCAUUGGGCGUAAAGAGCGUGUAGGCGGCCCGGUAAGUCCGCUGUGAAAGUCGGGGGCUCAACCCUCGAAUGCCGGUGGAUACUGUCGGGCUUGAGUACGGGAGAGGCGAGUGGAAUUCCUGGUGUAGCGGUGAAAUGCGCAGAUAUCAGGAAGAACACCCGUGGCGAAGGCGGCUCUCUGGGACGGUACUGACGCUGA
rnacentral:rRNA from 1 species